rnacentral:rRNA from 1 species
UACGUAGGGUGCGAGCGUUGUCCGGAUUUAUUGGGCGUAAAGAGCGUGUAGGCGGCCAGGUAGGUCCGUUGUGAAAACUCGAGGCUCAACCUCGAGACGUCGGCGGAAACCCUCUGGCUAGAGUCCGGAAGAGGAGAGUGGAAUUCCUGGUGUAGCGGUGAAAUGCGCAGAUAUCAGGAAGAACACCAAUGGCGAAGGCAGCUCUCUGGGACGGUACUGACGCUGAGACGCGAAAGCGUGGGGAGCGAACAGG